rnacentral:rRNA from 1 species
UACGUAGGGGGCAAGCGUUGUCCGGAAUUAUUGGGCGUAAAGAGCUCGUAGGCGGUCUGUCGCGUCGGUCGUGAAAACUUGGGGCUUAACCCUGAGCUUGCGGUCGAUACGGGCAUGACUGGAGUUCGGUAGGGGAGACUGGAAUUCCUGGUGUAGCGGUGAAAUGCGCAGAUAUCAGGAGGAACACCGGUGGCGAAGGCGGGUCUCUGGGCCGAUACUGACGCUGAGGAGCGAAAGCGUGGGGAGCGAACAGG